CCUACGGGAGGCAGCAGUGGGGAAUAUUGCACAAUGGGGGAAACCCUGAUGCAGCCACGCCGCGUGAGUGAAGAAGGUUCUCGGAUUUUUAAGCCCCGUUUGCAGGGAAGAGGCAGGACGGUACCUGCAGAGGAAGCCACGGCUAAAUACGUGCCAGCAGGCGUGGGAAAACGUAGGUGGCAAGCGUUGUUCGGAAUAACUGGGCGUAAAGGAUGCGUAGGCGGUUAAACUAGUUAUAUGUUAAAUAUAUAGGCUUAACCUGUAGAAAGCAAAUUAAACUGGUUAACUAGAGUGCAAGAGAAGUAAGUGGAAUGCGUAGUGUAGCGGUGAAAUGCGUAGAGAUUAGGCAGAACCCCAGUUGCGAAGGCAACUUACUGGACUGUAACUGACGCUGAGGCAUGAGAGCAUGGGGAGCGAACAGGAUUAGAUACCCUAGUAGUC
rnacentral:rRNA from 1 species